rnacentral:rRNA from 1 species
UACGUAGGUGGCAAGCGUUGUCCGGAUUUAUUGGGUUUAAAGGGUGCGUAGGUGGUCUAUUAAGUCAGUGCUGAAAUAUCCCGGCUUAACCGGGAGGGUGGCAUUGAUACUGAUGGACUUGAGUAAAGUUGAGGUGGGCGGAAUUGACGGUGUAGCGGUGAAAUGCUUAGAUAUCGUCAAGAACACCUAUUGCGAAGGCAGCUCACUAAGCUUUAACUGACACUGAGGCACGAAAGUGUGGGGAUCAAACAGG